ACACAAUAGCCUUGUUUUUAUCUUCUUUUUCCUCCUACCCCCACCCGAAGCUCCAACAAUGAAUUCCUCUCAGCCGCUGACCACUACCUUUCAAAUCUUCUUAACCCAUUCUCAAAACCCUAAUUAAUUCCUAAAUUAAUCACUCUAAUGGCAUUCUCAGUCUCCCCGUUGUACUCCACAACUUCAUUUCACAAACAAUUUCUCUUUUUUAAAAACCUCUCUAAUUUCAAUUUCACAUAAUCCCCAAACCCUAAUUAAUUCCUAAAUUAAUCACUCCAAUGGCUUUUUAGAGUUCCAAGUUAAGGAAAGGAUACAGCGGAAAAGUCAAAAUUUUGGGGGAAUGUAUGGCCUCUGGCGAUAUCAUUUAUGGGCUUUCAAAUGAUCCAAUUAAAUAUGAUAGAAAUGGUUGAGAAAAAUGAUAAGUAAUAUUGGGAGGAUGAGUUCACCACAAUAUUGUAGUUUGUUUUUCACUUUUAUUUUUUAUUGUAUUAGGAGUAUAAAUGUAAAUUUGUGUAGUGUGCUUAUUUGAAAAUAUAUUUUAAUUGUAGUGUGAUUAUAUCGCUCUAAUUACCCUUCUUGAAAUUAUCUGUAAUUUUCUUGAUAUCUGCAUAUGAAUAUCUCCAAGGCCUAACAGCCAUGUAAUCCUCUAUAAAGC
rnacentral:lncRNA from 1 species